AGAGUUUGAUUUUUGCUCAGAUUGAACGCUGGCGGAAUGCUUUACACAUGCAAGUCGAACGAUGAACCUUAGCUUGCUAAGGGGAUUAGUGGCGAACGGGUGAGUAAUAUAUCGGAACGUGCCUUGUAAUGGGGGAUAACUAGUCGAAAGAUUAGCUAAUACCGCAUACGCCCUGAGGGGGAAAGUAGGGGAUCUUCGGACCUUACGUUAUAAGAGCGGCCGAUAUCUGAUUAGCUAGUUGGUGGGGUAAUGGCCUACCAAGGCGACGAUCAGUAGCUGGUCUGAGAGGACGACCAGCCACACUGGAACUGAGACACGGUCCAGACUCCUACGGGAGGCAGCAGUGGGGAAUUUUGGACAAUGGGCGCAAGCCUGAUCCAGCCAUUCCGCGUGAGUGAAGAAGGCCUUCGGGUUGUAAAGCUCUUUCGCAAGGGAAGAAAACUUACUUUCUAAUAAAGAGUGAGGCUGACGGUACCUUGAUAAGAAGCACCGGCUAACUACGUGCCAGCAGCCGCGGUAAUACGUAGGGUGCGAGCGUUAAUCGGAAUUACUGGGCGUAAAGCGUGCGCAGGCGGUUUGGCAAGUCAGAUGUGAAAUCCCCGAGCUCAACUUGGGAACUGCGUUUGAAACUGCCAGACUAGAAUAUGUCAGAGGGGGGUAGAAUUCCACGUGUAGCAGUGAAAUGCGUAGAGAUGUGGAGGAAUACCAAUGGCGAAGGCAGCCCCCUGGGAUAAUAUUGACGCUCAUGCACGAAAGCGUGGGGAGCAAACAGGAUUAGAUACCCUGGUAGUCCACGCCCU
rnacentral:rRNA from 1 species